AGUUGUCGCAGUGCGGGAUGCAGAUGUGCAGUGCUGGUGGAAGGGUCAAAGAUAAGGAAUUUCCCAAAAAGGAGGGCACCAACAAUACUUGAAAGUUGUACAAUCAAAAACUAGAAGAAAUUAAACAGAAUGAUUCGUUUAAAAAUCGUUAUUGGCAGUAGGUGCCACGUAAAAAAAAAGAGAAACGGAGAGAUUGCUAUACAAAAAUACGCAGUCUACUGAUGCAAGACAAAAAAAAGAGAAGAAAA